rnacentral:sRNA from 1 species
GGUCAAAUUGAAUUUUUCUCCAGCGAGAGGAAGGAUGACUCCUAGACCUGUCUUUGUCCCAUACUUGGGAAGAUAAGCUGUUAGUUUACAUUGCCAAGAUGAAAUUCAACUGAUCUGUUUUAGAGUAAAGAUCUUGCGGGCCAACAAGGAAUUUCCUUGGGGAGGUGUGUGGCCUUUGAUCUUUGUAGCUAUCUAUUUAGCAACAAAAUGGGAGGCAGUGUUGCCUGACUCAGUUUCCAAGCUUGACUCUUCCCUUUGGCAUAGUGAGUUUGGAGUCAAGAGAUUUUUAUUUUCCCUUCACAAGCUGAACAGGAGCCUUUGGAGAGAACGCUCUGGACCGGAAGCGCGCCCCCGGGGCCGGUCCCGGAGGGCUCGAUCCGCGUCUACAGCAUGAGGUUCUGCCCGUUUGCUGAGAGGACGCGUCUGGUCCUGAAGGCCAAGGGAAUCAGGCAUGAAGUCAUCAAUAUCAACCUGAAAAAUAAGCCUGAGUGGUUCUUUAAGAAAAAUCCCUUUGGUCUGGUGCCAGUUCUGGAAAACAGUCAGGGUCAGCUGAUCUACGAGUCUGCCAUCACCUGUGAGUACCUGGAUGAAGCAUACCCAGGGAAGAAGCUGUUGCCGGAUGACCCCUAUGAGAAAGCUUGCCAGAAGAUGAUCUUAGAGUUGUUUUCUAAGGUGCCAUCCUUGGUAGGAAGCUUUAUUAGAAGCCAAAAUAAAGAAGACUAUGCUGGCCUAAAAGAAGAAUUUCGUAAAGAAUUUACCAAGCUAGAGGAGGUUCUGACUAAUAAGACGACGACCUUCUUUGGUGGCAAUUCUAUCUCUAUGAUUGAUUACCUCAUCUGGCCCUGGUUUGAACGGCUGGAAGCAAUGAAGUUAAAUGA